UGGGGAAUAUUGCACAAUGGAGGGAACUCUGAUGCAGCGACGCCGCGUGAGUGAUGAAGGAAUUCGUUUCGUAAAACUCUGUUCUAUGGGAAGAAAAGGACUGUACCAUAGGAGAAAGCCCCGGCUAAAUACGUGCCAGCAGCCGCGGUAAUACGUAUGGAGCGAGCGUUGUCCGGAAUUAUUGGGCGUAAAGGGUGCGCAGGCGGCUUUACAAGUUGGAUGUGAAAUAUUGUGGCUCAACCACAAACGUGCAUCCAAAACUGCAAAGCUUGAGUUAAGGAGAGGUAAGUGGAAUUCCUGGUGUAGCGGUGGAAUGCGUAGAUAUCAGGAGGAAUACCGGUGGCGAAGGCGGCUUACUGGACUUAAACUGACGCUCAGGCGCGAAAGCGUGGGGAGCAAACAGG
rnacentral:rRNA from 1 species